rnacentral:rRNA from 1 species
UGGGGAAUAUUGCGCAAUGGGGGAAACCCUGACGCAGCGACACCGCGUGCGGGAUGAAGGCCUUCGGGUUGUAAACCGCUUUUGAUUGGGAGCAAGCUUUCGGGUGAGUGUACCUUUCGAAUAAGCGCCGGCUAACUACGUGCCAGCAGCCGCGGUAAUACGUAGGGCGCAAGCGUUAUCCGGAAUUAUUGGGCGUAAAGAGCUUGUAGGCGGUUCGUCGCGUCUGGUGUGAAAGCCCAUCGCUUAACGGUGGGUUUGCGCCGGGUACGGGCGGGCUAGAGUGCAGUAGGGGAGACUGGAAUUCCCGGUGUAACGGUGGAAUGUGUAGAUAUCGGGAAGAACACCAAUGGCGAAGGCAGGUCUCUGGGCUGUUACUGACGCUGAGAAGCGAAAGCGUGGGGAGCGAACAGG